AAAGGGUUUUUUUUAUGGUUUAUGAGUAGUUACUAGUUACUUCUUCGGACUCAGAAUUACGAGCUAAGCAAUUGAUCACCAUCCACGGCGGUGCUCCGACGAUCGAGCUGAGAAUUUCACGUCGUUCGAAAGCGGAGCUCCGAGGGCAACCUGUAAAGGAGAAAGAAAAUGGCGGGAGCGUUAGUUGGUGGCGCGGCAUUGGGUGUUCCAUUCAACGAGCUAGCAACCAUCUUGAAGAAUUUUGGCGAAAGGGCGAUCAGUUUCGAUCCUGUUCUCAAGGAGACUCAAUCCAAGGUAAAUGAUAUAAUUCCUCUACUUAAAGAGAUAGAUGAUCUUAAUGAGGCCCUGGAGUAUCCAAAAGAAGAAAUGGAGACGUUGAGAAAUCUAUUAGAAGUUGCUAAAAAGCUACUUCUUCGGUGUCUAAGAUUGAAGAAGCUUGAUUAUAUAAGGAAAUCAACUCACACAGAAAAGCUUCGUGAUUUGAAUACCAAAAUUGGAAGUUUCAAGGACGUUUUGUUGAUGCAAAUGGCUAGAGACGGGAAGAAGACAUUGAAGAUAGCGUCUGAAAUCAAGGACGUCGUUCUCAGGCUUGAUAGCAAGUUUGGAUUAAGCAAUACGGUGGAUUUAAUUGUGAAGGUUCCUGAGAUUACAGAAGAAAGUGUUGGAUUGGAAAAACCAGUUGAGAAAUUGAAGGCGAAACUUUUCAGAGAUGGGGUUCGAUUGUUGGUAGUGACAGCUCCCGGGGGUUGUGGAAAAAGCACUCUGGCUGUAAGAUUUUGUCACGACAAGCAAGUUAAAAAUAAAUUCCAGAGGAACAUCUUUUUCCUCACUGUUUCAAGCAAACCAGAUACGAAACUCAUCUUAAAAUCUAUAAUCCAAAGCCUCGGGAGGUCUGUAGUAUCUGAUUCUGUGAGGGACGAUGAGGCAUUCCGGUGUUUAGAACUACUGCUGGGGCAAAUGAGUCCAAAUCCUGUAUUGAUUGUGUUGGACGAUGUCUGGGAAGGUUCCGAAUCAAAUAAGCUUCUUGAAAAGUUCUCUCGAAUGCCUAACUGCAAAAUUUUGGUGACCUCUAGAUUCAAGUUUCCUGCAUUUGGUGAGUCAUAUGAUUUGGAACUUUUGGACCAUAAGGAUGCAAAGGAGCUGUUUCAUCGCUCGGCAUCGCUGGAUAACAGAAUGCCACAGUUCCCAGAUGAACAAAUUGUGGAAAAGAUAGUGAGGGGUUGUAAGAGAUUCCCACUUGCUCUGAAAGUGAUUGCAAGAUCACUUUCGGGCAGAGCUGCUUCAGUUUGGAAAGUUCAAGAGAGGAAAUUAUCUAGAGGAGAUUCUAUUCUGGGUUCGGAGAAAGAGCUUCUGGAAUGCCUCAAAGGCACCUUAGAUGCAGUCCCAGAUGACAAGAUGGUACUGAAGGAGUGUUUCAUGGAUUUAGGUUCAUUUCCUGAAGACCAGAGAAUUCGUGUGGCUACCUUCAUUGACAUUUGUGCAGUGUUGUAUGAACAAGAUGAAUGUGAAACAAUGUCAAACCUUGACGAGCUCUUCACCCGGACUUUAGUCAACACUAUCUCUUUGAGAAAUGAAGCACAUCAAGACGAUUACUACAGCGAGUCCUAUAUUACACAGCAUGACAUGCUUAGAGAGUUGGCUGUCCAUUUGACUAAUGAGCAGCUAAUAGUCGAAAGGACAAGAUUGCUUGUGGAUAUUAACAGAAAUGAAUUUCCCAAAUGGUGGUCUGAAAAAAAGACGCAACCUAUGAAAGCCCGCCUUUUGUCCAUAACAACAGAUGAGAUGUUCUCAUCAUGUUGGCCUGACAUGGAAGCACCUGAAGUUGAGGUGUUAAUUCUAAAUCCUGGGUCAAAAACUUACAACUUGCCCGAUUUCAUGAAGAGAAUGAACAGAUUGAAAGCUCUGAUAGUCAGGAAUUACAGGUCCUUUCCAACUGAAUUGACAAGUGAUUAUCAACUAAUCAACUGUUUGUCAAGGUUAGAAAGAAUCAGUCUUGAGCGAAUUUCCAUUCCUUCUUUUAGUGACGAGAACCUGAAACCACUGUUUCAUCUUAAGAAGCUAUCGUUCUUUAUGUGCAAAAUUGAUAAAGCUUUUACGAACUGUUCAACCCAGAUCUCAUCCGUGUUGCCUAACUUGCUUGAAAUUUCCAUAGAUUUUUGCAAUGAUUUGGUGGCCCUCCCUGUUGGACUAUGUGAAAUUAUCACAUUGGAGAAACUGACCAUUACAAACUGUCACGGAUUAUCUUCAUUACCCGAGGAAAUUGGGCAGUUAAUUAAUCUAAAAACUCUAAGGCUUAGAUCUUGUAUUCAUUUGGAGAAGUUGCCAGAAUCAGUCUCAAGGCUCCGAGAAUUGAUGGAUCUUGACAUAUCUCAUUGUGUUGGCCUUACCAAACUUCCAGAUAAGAUUGGCAACUUGCAGAAGUUGGAAAAGCUUUAUAUGUGGAGUUGUCCGAUCAUGCACAAGCUUCCACCAUCACUAAGAAAUCUAAAAAACUUGAAGAAAGUAGUUUGUGAAGGGGAGAUAGCAAAAUGGGUAAAUAUUGUCUCACCUCGGCUUCGCAAUGUGGUAAAAGAACACCAAGAAGAAGUCAACUUGGAUUGGCUAUUAGCAUGACAGCUUCUUAUAGAGCUUUUUAAGGACAAACAAAAUCUCGGUACAGUAAUCAUCCUUGCAAUACCUGUACAUGGAAUUCUCAAAAUUGAAAUCGAACCCAGUUGUUCAUUUUCUUUCUUUGAUUCCUAAUGGGAUGGUUGACUUUGCAGAAAAAGAGAGGUGGAAUUUGUUUAAGAGCCAUUGAGUGCUAGAAUUAAGAAGGACCAUAUAUACCAAUCCACGCUGUUGGAUGAUUCCGGAGUCAAAUAACUGUUUUGGUCAGGACAAGGAAAGGGUUUACUUAAUUGGAGAUGGAAUCCAGAAAAAUGAAAGUUGUCCGGCUUUGAUCCCCAAGGCAUUGCUUCAACUUCUUCGUGGAAAGAAACUUUUCUUUAUUGGUGAUUUAUGGGUGAUUGAUUCUAUGGGCAGAAAUCGUAUGGAGUCUUUUAUUUGUCUCCUGUCACAGGUCAGCUCUCUCUAGUCUCUACUUUAUAAAAUGGAAAAAAAGAAAAAAGAAAAAAGAUCGAUUAGCUCUGUCAUAUCAUGUAAAUUUGUUAUAUAUGAUUAUUUGAAGCUUAUGAUUCUUGUUAUCAUCUAUAACUAAUUCUUAUGCUGAGUAAUUUUAGGAACCAUAGCAUUUUGGAAAAUUUACAUAGCUUUAACCUCUCUUUAAAUUCAGUUAAUGGGAAAUACCAACGUUGGAGAUUUCUUUUGUUUGAGUUCAACAACUGUGGAGGUGAUGGUUGUCUUAUGUACUGAGUUAUACUUGGAUUUGUCAUUAAUGUGUUAAUUGUGGGAAAAGUAAUUCUGGUCUUUUAUGUCAUUCUAUAUCGACUAGGUUGAUUCCUGACUCCCCUUAUAAAUUUAAAUCCAUCAUUUUCUAUGCGUAAGGUUGAUUAUUGAAAAAUUCUUUCUUGAACUGGAGUCAGAUUUAAAUUACUGCACAGAUGUGUGGAAGGUAAUUCAUGUCAAGGUGAACAUGUCAAAUUAUUGGAAGCAUACUUUAGCCAAAGAAUUCCACCUGAAUCCUACUAUUAGACCUUAGUAUAGAAUGAUGUGUGAUUGCAAGUUCUCUAAGUAGUUAGUAUUUCCAUUUCUUGACCUAAUUAAGAAAAAAAUAUUGAAAAUGUUCUCUGCCACCAGUUCCACUGAAUCUGAAAGCUAUUUAGAAAAUGAACGGAAAAAAAAAAAAAAAAAUUCAUUCUGUUUCUAUAGAACUUCAAUUUCCAUUUUAGAUAUGUUCGGAAUGAUUUUAAAAGUGCUUAGAAAACACAUUUUUAACACUUAAAAUACUUUUGUAAGCACUUAGAAUGUCAUUUCAAAUGAGCCUUAGUAUGUGGUUCAUGUAGAAGCAUCUUGAAGUUGAAGAAUUUGUUCUUAAUAUCUAAAUGGAGGUUCUAGGUGGAUAGAAAAUAAUUCAUAUGCUAUCUAACCCAACUAAAAAAAUCAUCAAUACAGAACAAAACAGAGAUUGUGGGUGAAUUAGGAAGAUGAUGGAAUUUGAAAUUUUUAAACAGUGGCUUAUUUCUUCAGAAUUCAUCGGAGGGAAAAGUUAUCAAGCAAAUAAAAUUCGAACUUGUGUGGGUUCAUAUACAUGAAUUAUCUGGAAUUAGAAUCCCAAACUAAGCAACAUAUGGAUGAAACUUUGAAAUUUUUUGAGUUCAAUAACUGUAACUGUUGGCUGGCCGGAAAUCGUAUCAUCAAUCAUUAGAAUGAUAAUUGAUAUUUACUAAGAUUGAUAAUUGAUAUUUAGUUUAGAUUGACUUGAAAAUUUAAAAUUAUGUUUUACUACAUUUUUUAGCUAAAAGGGUAUCACUGAUAGUCAUAUGGCACAUAAUUGAAAUUCAUGAACGUGAACUUUUAUUUUGAUAUUAUGUUAAAUUUCCACUUGAUAAUAUUUUAAGUUGAUAAAUUAUGCCAUUAUGAUAUAACUUAUAUUUUAAUACAUUUGUUACAGUUGCUUUGUGAACUAUAUGAAAUUUUAGGUUUUAGCGAAAUGUAGGGCGAAAUUCUAACGGAAGUUAGAAGAAAUAUGCAAGGUUUUGUAUUGUGAUCUCACCAACAUGUUAAAUGAAAUUUUGGCAAUGGAUUUUGAUGCUCAUUUCAGCUCAGAAAAUCAUAUUAAAGGUACUUUCCAAUGAAUUUGAAGAAUACCAACAUAAAGAAAGGAGUAAUGGUUAAAUUUUGGGUAGUAAUGUAUUCGUUGUACGAGAUUGAAUUAUAAAUUUUAUCAUUAGCUCAUACUUUGUGUCGUUGUGUUAAGCUCACUUGGGCAUAUUAAAAAUUUACAUAAUAUCAAUACAAAAGGGAUAAAAUAUAUUUGAGUUAGAU